rnacentral:tRNA from 1 species
GGGGCUGUAGCUCAGUGGUACAGUGCCUGCCUUACACGUAUGAGGCACUGGGUUCAAUCCUCAGCACCACA